CUACGAGAGGCACCAGUGGGGAAUAUUGCACAAUGGGGGAAACCCUGAUGCAGCAACGCCGCGUGGAGGAUGACACAUUUCGGUGCGUAAACUCCUUUUAUAGGUCAAGAUAAUGACGGUAGCCUAUGAAUAAGCGCCGGCUAACUCCGUGCCAGCAGCCGCGGUAAUACGGAGGGCGCAAGCGUUACUCGGAAUCACUGGGCGUAAAGAGCAUGUAGGCGGGUUAAUAAGUCAGAAGUGAAAUCCAAUAGCUCAACUAUUGAACUGCUUUUGAAACUGUUAACCUAGAGUGUGGGAGAGGUAGAUGGAAUUUCUGGUGUAGGGGUAAAAUCCGUAGAGAUCAGAAGGAAUACCGAUUGCGAAGGCGAUCUACUGGAACAUUACUGACGCUGAGAUGCGAAAGCGUGGGGAGCAAACAGGAUUAGAUACCCGGGUAGUC
rnacentral:rRNA from 1 species